rnacentral:rRNA from 1 species
AGUCGAGCGGUAGAGAGGUGCUUGCACCUCUUGAGAGCGGCGGACGGGUGAGUAAAGCCUAGGAAUCUGCCUGGUAGUGGGGGAUAACGCUCGGAAACGGACGCUAAUACCGCAUACGUCCUACGGGAGAAAGCAGGGGACCUUCGGACCUUGCGCUAUCAGAUGAGCCUAGGUCGGAUUAGCUAGUUGGUGAGGUAAUGGCUCACCAAGGCGACGAUCCGUAACUGGUCUGAGAGGAUGAUCAGUCACACUGGAACUGAGACACGGUCCAGACUCCUACGGGAGGCAGCAGUGGGGAAUAUUGGACAAUGGGCGAAAGCCUGAUCCAGCCAUGCCGCGUGUGUGAAGAAGGUCUUCGGAUUGUAAAGCACUUUAAGUUGGGAGGAAGGGCAUUAACCUAAUACGUUAGUGUUUUGACGUUACCGACAGAAUAAGCACCGGCUAACUCUGUGCCAGCAGCCGCGGUAAUACAGAGGGUGCAAGCGUUAAUCGGAAUUACUGGGCGUAAAGCGCGCGUAGGUGGUUCGUUAAGUUGGAUGUGAAAUCCCCGGGCUCAACCUGGGAACUGCAUUCAAAACUGUCGAGCUAGAGUAUG